CACGUAGGCGGACUGGAAAGUUGGAGGUGAAAUCCCAGGGCUCAACCUUGGAACUGCCUUCAAAACUAUCAGUCUGGAGUUCGAGAGAGGUGAGUGGAAUUCCGAGCGUAGAGGUGAAAUUCGUAGAUAUUCGGAGGAACACCAGUGGCGAAGGCGGCUCACUGGCUCGAUACUGACGCUGAGGUGCGAAAGUGUGGGGGAGCAAACA
rnacentral:rRNA from 1 species